AGACGUCUACAUUAGACUACCCCGGUAGUCCCAGCCGUAAACUAUGCGCGUUAGGUGUAUCGGUGACCACGAGUUACCGAGGUGCCGAAGGGAAACCGUGAAACGUGCCGCCUGGGAAGUACGGUCACAAGGCUGAAACUUAAAGGAAUUGGCGGGGAGCACCACAACAGGUGGAGCCUGCGGUUUAAUUGGACUCAACGCCGGGAAGCUCACCGGAUAGGACAGCAGAAUGAUUGCCGGGCUGAAGACCCUGCAUGACUAGCUG
rnacentral:rRNA from 1 species